ACCAGUGUGGCAUAGUGGUUUGAGCUUUGGACUAUGACUCUGGAGACCAGGGUUCGAAUGCCCUGGGUGGCC